UGGUGUUACUGCGAAGGGGGGACGGAGAAGGCUAUAUCAGCCGGGCGACGGUUGUCCCGGUUUAAGCGUGUAGGUGUGUGUUCCAGGCAAAUCCGGUUCACUUUACACUGAGGCGUGACGACGAGGCACUACGGUGCUGAAGUGAUAAAUGCCCUGCUUCCAGGAAAAGCCUCUAAGCAUCAGGUAACACAAAAUCGUACCCCAAACCGACACAGGUGGUCAGGUAGAGAAUACCCAGGCGCUUGAGAGAACUCGGGUGAAGGAACUAGGCAAAAUGGUGCCGUAACUUCGGGAGAAGGCACGCUGUCGGUAGGUGAAACCCCUCGCGGGUGGAGCUGAAGGCAGUCGAAGAUACCAGCUGGCUGCAACUGUUUAUUAAAAACACAGCACUGUGCAAACACGAAAGUGGACGUAUACGGUGUGACGCCUGCCCGGUGCCGGAAGGUUAAUUGAUGGGGUUAUCCGCAAGGAGAAGCUCUUGAUCGAAGCCCCGGUAAACGGCGGCCGUAACAAUAACGGUCCUAAGGUAGCGAAAUUCCUUGUCGGGUAAGUUCCGACCUGCACGAAUGGCGUAAUGAUGGCCAGGCUGUCUCCACCCGAGACUCAGUGAAAUUGAAAUCGCUGUGAAGAUGCAGUGUACCCGCGGCAAGACGGAAAGACCCCGUGAACCUUUACUACAGCUUGACACUGAACACUGAGCCUUGAUGUGUAGGAUAGGUGGGAGGCUUUGAAGCGUGGACGCCAGUCUGCGUGGAGCCGGCCUUGAAAUACCACCCUUUAAUGUUUGGUGUUCUAACGUAGGCCCGUGAUCCGGGCUGCGGACAGUGUCUGGUGGGUAGUUUGACUGGGGCGGUCUCCUCCCAAAGCGUAACGGAGGAGCACGAAGGUUGGCUAAUCCUGGUCGGACAUCAGGAGGUUAGUGCAAUGGCAUAAGCCAGCUUGACUGCGAGAGUGACGGCUCGAGCAGGUGCGAAAGCAGGUCAUAGUGAUCCGGUGGUUCUGAAUGGAAGGGCCAUCGCUCAACGGAUAAAAGGUACUCCGGGGAUAACAGGCUGAUACCGCCCAAGAGUUCAUAUCGACGGCGGUGUUUGGCACCUCGAUGUCGGCUCAUCACAUCCUGGGGCUGAAGUAGGUCCCAAGGGUACGGCUGUUCGCCGUUUAAAGUGGUACGCGAGCUGGGUUUAGAACGUCGUGAGACAGUUCGGUCCCUAUCUGCCGUGGGCGCUGGAGAAUUGAGGGGGGUUGCUCCUAGUACGAGAGGACCGGAGUGAACGCACCGCUGGUGUCCGGGUUGUCACGCCAGUGGCACUGCCCGGUAACUAAGUGCGGAAAAGAUAAGUGCUGAAAGCAUCUAAGCACGAAACUUGCCCCGAGAUGAGUUCUCCCUGAGCCUUUAAGGCUCCUGAAGGGACGUUGAAGACGACGACGUUGAUAGGCCGGGUGUGUAAGCGCAGCGAUGCGUUGAGCUUACCGGUACUAAUGACCCGUGAGGCUUAACCUG
rnacentral:rRNA from 2 species